GGAGGUGUCUGGGCUCCUGGUGGUCCCCCCGGUCUUCAAAACCGGUGUGCGGCGGCAUCCGUCGCAGGCGGGUUCGAUUCCCGUCCGCCUCCGCCA
rnacentral:tRNA from 1 species